GAUGAACGCUGGCGGCGUGCCUAAUACAUGCAAGUCGAGCGAACAGAUGAGGAGCUUGCUCCUUUGAUGUUAGCGGCGGACGGGUGAGUAACACGUGGGUAACCUACCUAUAAGACUGGGAUAACUUCGGGAAACCGGAGCUAAUACCGGAUAACAUUUUGAACCGCAUGGUUCAAAAGUGAAAGAUGGUUUUGCUAUCACUUAUAGAUGGACCCGCGCUGUAUUAGCUAGUUGGUAAGGUAACGGCUUACCAAGGCAACGAUGCGUAGCCGACCUGAGAGGGUGAUCGGCCACACUGGAACUGAGACACGGUCCAGACUCCUACGGGAGGCAGCAGUAGGGAAUCUUCCGCAAUGGGCGAAAGCCUGACGGAGCAACGCCGCGUGAGUGAUGAAGGUCUUCGGCUCGUAAAACUCUGUUAUUAGGGAAGAACAUAUGUGUAAGUAACUGUGCACAUCUUGACGGUACCUAAUCAGAAAGCCACGGCUAACUACGUG
rnacentral:rRNA from 1 species